AAUGACCAUCGAAAAAAAAAGGAAACAAAAUAAAGAGAAAAGAAAAGAGAAAUUUGAUGGAACAAAGAAAAUCACUCACUGAAUGAGAAACACUCAGUUGGGUAUAAAACCAAAGACAAAACUAAUUGAGUAACGGAAUUGAAAAAGAAAAAGAAAAGUAAAUGAUAUGUUAGAACAAACACAGUGAGAAGAAUAAUAACAUUGACUCUGAACCC
rnacentral:lncRNA from 1 species